rnacentral:tRNA from 1 species
GCGGGUGUGGCCCAUUGGAUGGGCACCGGAUCGCCAGUCCGGCCAACGGAGUUCGAUUCUCCGCACUCGCUCCA